ACUCGACUACAUGAAGCUGGAAUCGCUAGUAAUCGUAGAUCAGCAUGCUACGGUGAAUACGUUCCCGGGUCUUGUACACACCGCCCGUCACACCACGAGAGUUUGUAACACCCGAAGCCGGUGGAGUAACCAUUUUGGAGCUAGCCGUCGAAGGUGGGACAAAUGAUUGGGGUGAAGUCGUAACAAGGUAGCCGUAUCGGAAGGUGCGGCUGGAUCACCUCCUUUCUAAGGA
rnacentral:rRNA from 1 species